rnacentral:lncRNA from 1 species
AAUAAUUAUGAAAUUUAAAAUAUAAAAUUUAAAAUUUGAAUAUUUAAAAUUUUUCUUUUAAAAUUUUAAAAAUUUAAAAUUUAUAAUUUGUAGAUUAAAACUUGUAAUUUAAAAUUUAAAUUUUUAAAUUUUUAAAUUUUUAAAUUUUAAAUUAAAAUCUAAAAUUUCAAAUUUUAAAUUUUAUCUUAAAUUUGAAAUUUGAAAUUUGAAAUUUAAAAAUUUAAAAUCUAAAAUUUGAUAUUUGAAAAUUAAAAUUAAAAUUAAAAUUUUAAAGUUUGAAAUUUAUUUUUCAAAAUUUAAAAUUAAAAAAUUAAAAAAUAAAUCUAAAAAUUAAAAUUUUAAAUUAAAUUUAAAUAUAAAUAUUGAAUUUAAAAUAAAAAUAGAANAAAUUUAAAGUUUGAGUUCAAAAUCAGAAUCAGAUUUCAAGAAGCAGUUUUUUUUCUGCUUCUGAUUCUGGAGCUUUCAAAAUCAGUUUUCUAAUUCUGAGAAGUAAAAUCAGAUUUUAAAAAUGAGAUUACCAACCGCUCUAUUAAACUGAAAAUUAUUUUUUAACUAAAAAGUGUUUUUUAAAAGAUAGGCCGAACACC